CAGUCGAACGAUGAUGCCCAGCUUGCUGGGUGGAUUAGUGGCGAACGGGUGAGUAACACGUGAGUAACCUGCCCCUGACUCUGGGAUAAGCGUUGGAAACGACGUCUAAUACUGGAUAUGAUCACUGGCCGCAUGGUCUGGUGGUGGAAAGAUUUUUUGGUUGGGGAUGGACUCGCGGCCUAUCAGCUUGUUGGUGAGGUAAUGGCUCACCAAGGCGACGACGGGUAGCCGGCCUGAGAGGGUGACCGGCCACACUGGGACUGAGACACGGCCCAGACUCCUACGGGAGGCAGCAGUGGGGAAUAUUGCACAAUGGGCGAAAGCCUGAUGCAGCAACGCCGCGUGAGGGAUGACGGCCUUCGGGUUGUAAACCUCUUUUAGUAGGGAAGAAGCGAAAGUGACGGUACCUGCAGAAAAAGCACCGGCUAACUACGUGCCAGCAGCCGCGGUAAUACGUAGGGUGCAAGCGUUGUCCGGAAUUAUUGGGCGUAAAGAGCUCGUAGGCGGUUUGUCGCGUCUGCUGUGAAAUCCCGAGGCUCAACCUCGGGCUUGCAGUGGGUACGGGCAGACUAGAGUGCGGUAGGGGAGAUUGGAAUUCCUGGUGUAGCGGUGGAAUGCGCAGAUAUCAGGAGGAACACCGAUGGCGAAGGCAGAUCUCUGGGCCGUAACUGACGCUGAGGAGCGAAAGCAUGGGGAGCGAACAGGAUUAGAUACCCUGGUAGUCCAUGCCGUAAACGUUGGGCGCUAGAUGUAGGGACCUUUCCACGGUUUCUGUGUCGUAGCUAACGCAUUAAGCGCCCCGCCUGGGGAGUACGGCCGCAAGGCUAAAACUCAAAGGAAUUGACGGGGGCCCGCACAAGCGGCGGAGCAUGCGGAUUAAUUCGAUGCAACGCGAAGAACCUUACCAAGGCUUGACAUACACCGGAAACGGCCAGAGAUGGUCGCCCCCUUGUGGUCGGUGUACAGGUGGUGCAUGGUUGUCGUCAGCUCGUGUCGUGAGAUGUUGGGUUAAGUCCCGCAACGAGCGCAACCCUCGUUCUAUGUUGCCAGCGGGUUAUGCCGGGGACUCAUAGGAGACUGCCGGGGUCAACUCGGAGGAAGGUGGGGAUGACGUCAAAUCAUCAUGCCCCUUAUGUCUUGGGCUUCACGCAUGCUACAAUGGCCGGUACAAAGGGCUGCGAUACCGUAAGGUGGAGCGAAUCCCAAAAAGCCGGUCUCAGUUCGGAUUGAGGUCUGCAACUCGACCUCAUGAAGUCGGAGUCGCUAGUAAUCGCAGAUCAGCAACGCUGCGGUGAAUACGUUCCCGGGCCUUGUACACACCGCCCGUCAAGUCAUGAAAGUCGGUAACACCCGAAGCCGGUGGCCUAACCC
rnacentral:rRNA from 2 species